rnacentral:rRNA from 1 species
CCUGUCACACUGCCAAGAAAAGCUUCUAGCGUUAAUUAUACUCUACCCGUACCGCAAACCGACACAGGUAGUCGAGGCGAGUAGCCUCAGGUGAGCGAGAGAACUCUCGUUAAGGAACUCGGCAAAAUGGCCCCGUAACUUCGGGAGAAGGGGCGCUGACUUAUGGUCAGCCGCAGUGAAUAGGCCCAAGCAACUGUUUAUCAAAAACACAGCUCUCUGCUAAAUCGUAAGAUGAUGUAUAGGGGGUGACGCCUGCCCGGUGCUGGAAGGUUAAGAGGAGUGCUUAGCGUAAGCGAAGGUAUGAAUUGAAGCCCCAGUAAACGGCGGCCGUAACAAUAACGGUCCUAAGGUAGCGAAAUUCCUUGUCGGGUAAGUUCCGACCCGCACGAAAGGCGUAAUGAUUUGGGCACUGUCUCAACGAGAGACUCGGUGAAAUUUUAGUACCUGUGAAGAUGCAGGUUACCCGCGACAGGACGGAAAGACCCCAUGGAGCUUUACUGCAGUUUGAUAUUGAGUAUCUGUACCACAUGUACAGGAUAGGUAGGAGCCUAUGACCUCGGGACGCCAGUUUCGAGUGAGGCGUUGUUGGGAUACUACCCUUGUGUUAUGGCUACUCUAACCCAGAUAGGUUAUCCCUAUCGGAGACAGUGUCUGACGGGCAGUUUGACUGGGGCGGUCGCCUCCUAAAAGGUAACGGAGGCGCCCAAAGGUUCCCUCAGAAUGGUUGGAAAUCAUUCGCAGAGUGUAAAGGUAUAAGGGAGCUUGACUGCGAGAGCUACAACUCGGGCAGGGACGAAAGUCGGGCUUAGUGAUCCGGUGGUUCCGCAUGGAAGGGCCAUCGCUCAACGGAUAAAAGCUACCCUGGGGAUAACAGGCUUAUCUCCCCCAAGAGUUCACAUCGACGGGGAGGCUUGGCACCUCGAUGUCGGCUCGUCGCAUCCUGGGGCUGUAGUCGGUCCCAAGGGUUGGGCUGUUCGCCCAUUAAAGCGGCACGCGAGCUGGGUUCAGAACGUCGUGUGACAGUUCGGUCCCUAUCCGUCGCGGGCGUAGGAAAUUUGAGAGGAUCUGCUCCUAGUACGAGAGGACCAGAGUGGACUUACCGCUGGUGUACCAGUUGUUCUGCCAAGAGCAUCGCUGGGUAGCUAUGUAGGGAAGGGAUAAACGCUGAAAGCAUCUAAGUGUGAAGCCCACCUCAAGAUGAGAUUUCCCAUGAUUUUAUAUCAGUAAGAGCCCUGAGAGAUGAUCAGGUUGAUAGGUUAGAAGUGGAAGUGUGGUGACACAUGUAGCGGACUAAUACUAAUAGCUCGAGGACUUAUCCGA